CCCCUAUGUUCUAUUUUUAGCCAUGGCGGCCAUCUUGGUUGGUUGGCCGGGUCACGCCACACAGUUUUUAAACUAGAUACCCCAAAGAUGAUUGUGGCCAAGUUUGGAUUAAUUUGGCCCAGUUGUUUCAGAGGAGAAGAUUUUUGUAAAAGAUUUCUAAGAUUUACGAAAAAUGGUUAAAAAUUGACUAUAAAGGUCAAUAACUCCUAAAGGGGUCAACUGACCAUUUUGGUCCUGUUGACUUAUUUGUAAAUCUAACUUUGCUGAACAUUAUUGCUGUUUACAGUUUAUCUCUAUCUAUAAUAUUAUUCAAGAUAAUAA
rnacentral:lncRNA from 1 species